rnacentral:rRNA from 1 species
AGCGAACGCUGGCGGCGUGCUUAACACAUGCAAGUCGAACGUGAAAGGGAGCAAUCCCAAGUAAAGUGGCGUACGGGUGAAUAACGCGUUGGUAAUCUACCCCAAAAUCUGGAAUAACUUGCCGAAAGGCGGGCUAAUACUGGAUAGAGCGAUGGAAUCCGUAAUUGGGUUUUUCGGGAAAGGGAGGCAGCAAUGCCCCUCGUUUUGGGAUGAGCCUGCGUCUCAUUAGCUAGUUGGCGAGGUAAUAGCUCACCAAGGCUUUGAUGGGUAGCUGGUCUGAGAGGAUGAUCAGCCACACUGGAACUGAAACACGGUCUAGACUCCUACGGGAGGCAGCAGUGGGGAAUCUUGCGCAAUGGACGAAAGUCUGACGCAGCCACGCCGCGUGAGUGAAGAAGGCCUUCGGGUUGUAAAGCUCUGUCGGGCGGGACGAAAAUGCAUUAAGUGAAUAGCUUAGUGUACUGACGGUACCGCCAAAGGAAGCACCGGCUAACUCCGUGCCAGCAGCCGCCGUAA